UGGGGAAUAUUGGACAAUGGGCGAAAGCCUGAUCCAGCCAUGCCGCGUGUGUGAAGAAGGUCUUCGGAUUGUAAAGCACUUUAAGUGGGGAGGAAGGGCAGUAAGCGAAUACCUUGCUGUUUUGACGUUACCGACAGAAUAAGCACCGGCUAACUCUGUGCCAGCAGCCGCGGUAAUACAGAGGGUGCAAGCGUUAAUCGGAAUUACUGGGCGUAAAGCGCGCGUAGGUGGUUCGUUAAGUUGAAUGUGAAAGCCCCGGGCUCAACCUGGGAACUGCAUCCAAAACUGGCGAGCUAGAGUAGGGCAGAGGGGGGUGGAAUUUCCUGUGUAGCGGUGAAAUGCGUAGAUAUAGGAAGGAACACCAGUGGCGAAGGCGACCACCUGGGCUCAUACUGACACUGAGGUGCGAAAGCGUGGGGAGCAAACAGG
rnacentral:rRNA from 1 species